AUGGUUAGGAGUGUACCGAUUGGUGAGAAGCUCUUCAUAGGAGGAGACCUCAAUGGCCACGUGGGUACAUCUAACACAGGUUUUGAAGGGGCGCACGGGGGCUUUGGCUAUGGCAUCAGGAAUCAAGGAGAAGAUGUCUUAAGCUUUGCUCUAGCCUACAACAUGAUUGUAGCUAACACCCUCUUUAGAAAGAGAGAAUCACAUCUGGUGACUUUUAGUAGUGGCCAACACUCUAGCCAGAUUGAUUUCAUCCUCUCGAGAAGAGAAGAUAGGCGUGCGUGCCUAGACUGUAAGGUGAUACCUGGAGAGAGUGUUGUACCCCAGCAUAAGCUGGUGGUUGCUGACUUCCGCUUUCGGAUUCGUGUUCAGCGGGAUAAGCGUGCCAAAGUCGCUAGAACGAAGUGGUGGAAGCUCAAGGGGGAGGUAGUUCUAGCGUUCAAGGAGAGGGUCAUUAAGGAGGGCCCUUGGGAGGAAGGAGGAGAUGCGAACAAUGUGUGGAUGAAGAUGGCGACUUGCAUUCGUAAGGUGGCCUCGGAGGAGCUUGGAGUGUCCAGGGGAAGGAGAAGCGAAGAUAAGGAUACCUGGUGGUGGAAUGAUGAUGUCCAGAAGGCGAUUAAAGAGAAGAAAGAUUGCUUCAAACGCCUAUACCUGGAUAGGAGUGCAGACAACAUAGAGAAGUACAAGAUGGCGAAGAAGGCCGCAAAGCGAGCUGUUGGUGAAGCAAGGGGUCGGGCAUAUGAGGACCUCUACCAACGGUUAGGCACGAAGGAAGGUGAAAGGGACACCUAUAAGAUGGCCAAGAUCCGAGAGAGGAAGACGAGGGAUAUUGGCCAAGUCAAAUGCAUCAAGGACGGAGCAGGCCAACUCUUGGUGAAGGACGAGGAGAUUAAGCAUAGAUGGCGGGAGUACUUCGACAAGCUGUUCAAUGGGGAGAAUGAGAGUUCUACCAUUGAACUGGACGACUCCUUUGAUGAGACCAACAUGCGUUUUGUGCGGUGA
rnacentral:rRNA from 1 species